UGGGGAAUAUUGGACAAUGGGGGCAACCCUGAUCCAGCCAUGCCGCGUGAGUGAUGAAGGCCUUCGGGUUGUAAAGCUCUUUUGGCGGGGACGAUGAUGACGGUACCCGCAGAAUAAGCCCCGGCUAACUUCGUGCCAGCAGCCGCGGUAAGACGAAGGGGGCUAGCGUUGUUCGGAAUUACUGGGCGUAAAGCGAGUGUAGGUGGUUGUCCAAGUUGGAUGUGAAAGCCUUGAGCUCAACUCAAGAAAUGCAUUCAGGACUGGGCGGCUAGAGGACCGGAGAGGAUAGUGGAAUUCCCAGUGUAGUGGUGAAAUACGUAGAGAUUGGGAAGAACACCAGUGGCGAAGGCGGCUAUCUGGACGGUUUCUGACACUAAGACUCGAAAGCGUGGGGAGCAAACAGGAUUAGAUACCCCGCGUAGUCC
rnacentral:rRNA from 1 species